rnacentral:rRNA from 1 species
GAUGAACGCUGGCGGCGUGCUUAACACAUGCAAGUCGAACGGGAAAUACUUUAUUGAAACUUCGGUGGAUUUAAUUUAUUUCUAGUGGCGGACGGGUGAGUAACGCGUGGGUAACCUGCCUUAUACUGGGGGAUAACAGCCAGAAAUGACUGCUAAUACCGCAUAAGCGCACAGAACCGCAUGGUUCGGUGUGAAAAACUCCGGUGGUAUAAGAUGGACCCGCGUUGGAUUAGCUAGUUGGCAGGGCAGCGGCCUACCAAGGCGACGAUCCAUAGCCGGCCUGAGAGGGUGAACGGCCACAUUGGGACUGAGACACGGCCCAGACUCCUACGGGAGGCAGCAGUGGGGAAUAUUGCACAAUGGGGGAAACCCUGAUGCAGCGACGCCGCGUGAAGGAAGAAGUAUCUCGGUAUGUAAACUUCUAUCAGCAGGGAAGAUAAUGACGGUACCUGACUAAGAAGCCCCGG